CCCAGUUCGGAUUGUAGUCUGCAACUCGCCUGUAUGAAGUCGGAAUUGCUAGUAAUCGUGGAUCAGCAUGCCACGGUGAAUACGUUCCCGGGCCUUGUACACACCGCCCGUCACACCAUGAGAGCCGGGAACACCCGAAGUCCGUAGUCUAACCUAUAUGGAGGACGCGGCCGAAGGUGGGUUUGGUAAUUGGGGUGAAGUCGUAACAAGGUAGC
rnacentral:rRNA from 1 species